CUGGAUCACUUGCAUCGUGUUCCCGUUAAGUGGGGCGUUUACUCAAGGGUGAAGGUGUGGAACAGUGGAGAGGUGAAGGCAGCUCUUCUUGAAGAUAAAGUGUCGACCAACGAGUAUGGCAAGCUUUUGGUAAGACAUAAACAGUAAUUGUAUUGAUUUGCGGGGCGAUAAUUGCGUAUGUAACAGUUUUUUCAAUUGAUAGGCCGUCGAUGUUGCGUAUGGGGAGGAGCAUCCCCUAGUACUAAGGGAGUUGCUGGUGGUGUUAACAAGAAGGCACAACUAUCAGGGGAUAGGGAUCAGGCUUCGGUGGAUGAUGUCGUGGAGCAAGUGAGUGUGGGCAAACUUUAAGUUUGAAAUAUCAAUUGAAAGAUCUAUGGUUUUAUUUUUGGGUUAUGAUUUUGGCUAAGUGUGGAUAGAUGCUUUGUGCGGGUAUUAGCUCAGUUGAGCACAAGGCUGGUCAGUGUUGUUGAGAGUGUUGUUGCUCGUGCCAUGAGUAGAGGAUAUGAUGCAAACAUGACAAGGACCAACCUGAACCAAAUUGAGGGAGAUGUAUACGCUGAGAAAGGCAGCCACCCGUGGACCGACACGACAAUAGAAAGUAAUGGUCCUCCAAUAAAAAAAAUAUGUGGGUGAAGUAAGGAAGGAUGGCAAAGACUGUUCAUCAUUUAAAGGGUUAACGGAGGGAGUUGAUUUCUUGGAUUUUGCAUAAAAUAACAACAAGCAUGAUCCGACGGAUAAGCUGCUGAUGACCUUUAUUCGAGGCUGGAAGGAAUUGAAAGAUGAAAACAUUUUCGGGGCAUCGUUAAUUGAAUGUGGGGGCAUGGAUGCGACUCAGAGGGAUUGCUAUCGGGUUGUCGGUCUAAGAGCCCGGGUUGUGAUCAAUACAUGCGGAUGACAACCACGUUGUACAACAAAACCUGGGACCAUCAUGAGUUUUUUUGGCAGAGAGAAGAACAUUAUGUUAGACCCUACAUAUGCGUUGAUGCUUAAUUUGGGGAAGAAAGACUACGAGGAUUUGGCGCGGAAGUACGACAAAGCCUUCCUCAGUAUCCCACUGACCUAAAUAA